UGGUGCGGUUUGUUUUUCAUCUGUUGCCGGCGUUAUUCGCCGCUUUCCUUUUUAGUUUUCCUCCUCUCUUCAAGCAAGGAUCCUCCCCUUGCUUUUUGAGGGGUCACGUAGAAGUGUUGAGGUGCCAUUGAGGGAACUUUUCUCUUUACCCAAUUUUGUUGGGCGGCCAAGUUUUUAUCAUCGUCGGGAUGAGGUUCUCCUUCUGUUCUUGACGUAGUCGAUCUCAGCUUAGGUUAGAACGAGAUUCUCAUCUUGUCCCCAACGGGGCUGUGGGGGCAUAUAAGGGUCAUUGCAAGGGCUUCUCCCCCCACCCGGUCUAAAAGAAUCGGGCC
rnacentral:lncRNA from 1 species